rnacentral:rRNA from 1 species
GAGUUUGAUCAUGGCUCAGAAUGAACGUUGGCGGCGUGGAUUAGGCAUGCAAGUCGAGCGAGAAGCUUCCUUCGGGGAGUGGACAGCGGCGAAAGGGAGAGUAAUACGUAGAAAUCUGCCCCGGAGUCUGGGAUAGCGUUGGGAAACUGGCGGUAAUACCGGAUAACGUCUUCGGACCAAAGAAUUUCGCUCUGGGAUGAGUCUACGACCUAUUAGCUUGUUGGUGAGGUAACGGCUCACCAAGGCGACGAUGGGUAGCGGGUGUGAGAGCAUGAUCCGCCUCACUGGGACUGAGACACUGCCCAGACAUCUACGGAUGGCUGCAGUCGAGAAUCUUUGUCAAUGGACGAAAGUCUGAACAAGCGACGCCGCGUGCGGGAUGAAGGCCCUCGGGUUGUAAACCGCUGUCAGAGGGGAGGAAAUUUUGACUGAACCUCAGAGGAAGGACGGGCUAAGUUCGUGCCAGCAGCCGCGGUAAGACGAACCGUCCGAACGUUAUUCGGUAUCACUGGGCUUAAAGAGUCCGUAGGCGGCCAUGUAGGUCAGAUGUGAAAUCCCACAGCUCAACUGUGGAACUGCGUUUGAAACCACAUGGCUUGAGGGAGAUAGAGGUGAGCGGAACAGAUGGUGGAGCGGUGAAAUGCGUUGAUAUCAUCUGGAACACCGGUGGCGAAAGCGGCUCACUGGAUCUUUUCUGACGCUGAGGGACGAAAGCUAGGGUAGCGAACGGGAUUAGAUACCCCGGUAGUCCUAGCCGUAAACGAUGAGCACUAGUCC